rnacentral:rRNA from 1 species
CAAUAGCGUAUAUUAAAGUUGUUGCAGUUAAAAAGCUCGUAGUUGGAUUUCGGGGUGGCCUGCCUGGUCCACCGCAAGGUGAGUACUGGUCAGCCGCCCUUCCUCUCGAAAGCCCCGACUGCUCUUCAUUGCAGUGGUCGGGUAGUUCGGGACGUUUACUUUGAAAAAAUUAGAGUGUUCAAGGCAGGCUCUCGCCUGAAUACAUUAGCAUGGAAUAAUGGAAGAGGACCUCGGUCCUAUUUUGUUGGUUUCUAGGGCCGAAGUAAUGAUUAAGAGGGACAGUUGGGGGCAGUCGUAUUUAAUUGUCAGAGGUGAAAUUCUUGGAUUUAUGAAAGACGAACUAGUGCGAAAGCAUUUGCCAAGGAUGUUUUCAUUAA